rfam:Acidobacteria bacterium 13_1_40CM_4_58_4 13_1_40cm_4_scaffold_5571, whole genome shotgun sequence.
CGGACGCGCAUGGUGAGCGGAGAGCGGUCAACGGAACUCUUGGCAGGGCAACGCGCCUGAUAACGUCAGGGGGCGCGAUGGGGAGCACAGGCUAAAGCCUGUGCCACUCGGAGCGCUACGGAAAGUGCCACAGAGAAUAGACCGCCGGCGGAGCGCAGCACGGUGGCAUCACGCAGGGAAACCUGCGGGACGUCUUCGCAACGCACGCAACGUUGGGCAAGGGUGAAAAGGUGGGGUAAGAGCCCACCGCUCCGGUGGCGACACCGGAGGCACGGAAAACCCCGCGUGGUGCAAGGCCAAAUAGGAGGGGAGAGCCGGCCCGGCUCGAUGAGCGAGCGUUUUCUAACGGAAACGCGCUCCUUCUGGGGCGGCGCAAGCCGUCGUGGAUGAGAACCCUCGGGUAGGCUGCUGGAGUCACGGUGCGAACCGUGACCUAGAGGAAUGAUCGCCGCAGCGUGCGGGUCGUUUUGCGAACUGCGUGCCGCACAGAAUCCGGCUUACAGGCCCGUCCGCCAA